UACAGAGGGGGCAAGCGUUGUUCGGAAUUACUGGGCGUAAAGGGCGCGUAGGCGGCCUUCUAAGUCGAACGUGAAAUCCCCGGGCUCAACCCGGGAACUGCGUCCGAUACUGGAAGGCUUGAAUCCGGGAGAGGGAUGUGGAAUUCCAGGUGUAGCGGUGAAAUUCGUAGAUAUUAGGAAGAACACCGGUGGCGAAGGCGGUCCACUGGCUCGGUACUGACGCUGAGGUGCGAAAGCGUGGGGAGCAAACAGG
rnacentral:rRNA from 1 species